ACUUCAGACCAAAGAGGAUUGUAUAUGAGCCAACAGUGACACAUCGCUCUCCAGGAACCUCGUUUGGUUAAUUGAAAACUUCACCACGACCAACAAUUAGUCUCACUUCAUUUAAAGACCACCAAUCACAGCACAGAGGUUUGUCAAAAUGAGAACUGCAGUUAAUGUCUUUUACUGGUUGAUGUGUUUGAGUCUGCUCACCAAAGCAAGGUCUACAUCGUGUAGUUUAGACCUCCAGGCCUGUAAGUUUCAGUUUCAGAGCAACAUGCAGGCUAUACACACUGCGAAUUGCAACGUGAUCAGGCCAAUAGUCCAAACAUUUGAAGACUGUACGCAACCAUACAGAGCGCAGUGUGAAAACCUGGCUUCUUGGCGAGAUAGCCGUGAAACGGUCACCCGUUUGAUAUCAACGUGUCGUUUUCAGAAGCGUUAGUCAACAAACCAUAUUUUACACUCGUAACCCAAUUCGUGGCCAAUAAAACGAUUAUGAUUUCAAGAUGAAUUUGG
rnacentral:sRNA from 1 species